UGGGGAAUAUUGGACAAUGGGCGAAAGCCUGAUCCAGCCAUGCCGCGUGUGUGAAGAAGGUCUUCGGAUUGUAAAGCACUUUAAGUUGGGAGGAAGGGCAGUAAGUUAAUACCUUGCUGUUUUGACGUUACCGACAGAAUAAGCACCGGCUAACUCUGUGCCAGCAGCCGCGGUAAUACAGAGGGUGCAAGCGUUAAUCGGAAUUACUGGGCGUAAAGCGCGCGUAGGUGGUCUGUUAAGUUGGAUGUGAAAGCCCCGGGCUCAACCUGGGAACUGCAUCCAAAACUGGCAAGCUAGAGUACGGUAGAGGGUGGUGGAAUUUCCUGUGUAGCGGUGAAAUGCGUAGAUAUAGGAAGGAACACCAGUGGCGAAGGCGACCACCUGGACUGAUACUGACACUGAGGUGCGAAAGCGUGGGGAGCAAACA
rnacentral:rRNA from 1 species